GCCAGCAUAGCAUAGUGGUUUGAAUACUGGACUAUGACUCUGGAGACCAGAGUUUGAUUCUCAGCUCAGCCA